CUGACAACCCUGAAGAGUUAAGUCCUCUUUCUGUCCACUGAAUAGGAACAGCACAGGCAGCGGCAUUACAAGCUUCCCUCAGACUGGCACACAACCAUGUAGCAGGACCACAUCUUUGGGUGAGAGGGUAGCUCAACCCCCAAGUUCACUCAGUCUUUGGCUUUU
rnacentral:sRNA from 1 species